rnacentral:rRNA from 1 species
CCUACGUGUGGCAGCAGUGGGGAAUAUUGCGCAAUGGGCGAAAGCCUGACGCAGCGACGCCGCGUGAGGGAUGAAGGUCUUCGGAUCGUAAACCUCUGUCAGCAGGGAAGAACGGUCACUGUGCUAAUCAGCAGUGAAUUGACGGUACCUGCAAAGGAAGCACCGGCUAACUCCGUGCCAGCAGCCGCGGUAAUACGGAGGGUGCGAGCGUUAAUCGGAAUUACUGGGCGUAAGGCGCACGUAGGCGGUAUGUCAAGUCAAGGGUGAAAUCCCCGCGCUCAACGUGGGAACUGCCUUUGAAACUGGCAAACUGGAGUGUGUGAGAGGAUAGUGGAAUUCCAGGUGUAGGAGUGAAAUCCGUAGAUAUCUGGAGGAACAUCAGUGGCGAAGGCGACUAUCUGGCACAUAACUGACGCUGAGGAGCGAAAGCGUGGGUAUCAAACAGGAUUAGAUACCCUAGUAGUC